UGCUCCACACAUGCAAGUCGAACGGCAGCAUGGGCUUCGGCCUGAUGGCGAGUGGCGAACGGGUGAGUAAUGCAUCGGAACGCGUCCUGUAAUGGGGGAUAACCUGGCGAAAGCCAGGCUAAUACCGCAUACGUCCUGAGGGAGAAAGCGGGGGAUCGUAAGACCUCGCGUUAUAGGAGCGGCCGAUGUCGGAUUAGCUAGUUGGUGGGGUAAAGGCCUACCAAGGCGACGAUCUGUAGCGGGUCUGAGAGGACGGCCCGCCACACUGGGACUGAGACACGGCCCAGACUCCUACGGGAGGCAGCAGUGGGGAAUUUUGGACAAUGGGGGCAACCCUGAUCCAGCCAUGCCGCGUGAGUGAAGAAGGCCUUCGGGUUGUAAAGCUC
rnacentral:rRNA from 1 species